rnacentral:rRNA from 1 species
AACGAACGCUGGCGGCAUGCCUAACACAUGCAAGUCGAACGAGACCUUCGGGUCUAGUUGCGCACGGGUGCUUAACGCGUGGUAACCUGCCCUUAGGUUCGGAAUCACUCCCCGAGAGGUGUGCUAAUACCGGAUAAUGUCUUCGGACCAAGGAUUUAUCGCCUUUGGAUGGGCCCUCGUUGGAUUAGCUAGUUGGUAGGGUAAAAGCCUACCAAGGCGACGAUCCAUAGCUGGUCUGAGAGGAUGAUCAGCCACACUGGGACUGAGACACGGACCAGACUCCUACGGGAAGCAGCAGUGGAGAAUAUUGGACAAUGGGCGAAAGCCUGAUCCAGCAAUGCCGGGUGAGAGAUGAAGGCGGUAGGGUUGUAAAGCUCUUUUACACGGGAUGAUAAUGACAGUAACGGGAGAAGAAGCUCCGGCUAACUACGUG